AAACGCUCCAAACCAUAAGUUUUAACACAGUCCGAAAGGUUUCAGAUUAUAUGAUCUGAAACAAUUUGAAAAGGUGAUCGGUUUUUAUAAUUCAAAUUUGUCCAGAAUGCGAAUUGUGGUACUGCAAGCAAUGUUUGGAAGGUUCGUGGGGUGUUUUAUGCAUUUUUGGUAAGUUGUGUCAUUUUAAACGUUUCCUUUUAACUAUAGUCGCAAUUUAUGAUUUGCAUUCUUCUCCAUUUUUAUUGUAAGUCUCCUCUUCAUUUCUUCUUCUUUUUUUUUUUCUGCUGAAUUUUCAUUUGGGAGUGCAUUAAGAUAUCACGGUCAUUGUUAACCAUUCAUACCAUCCAUAAAAUUGUUGGGUACUUUUUAUGAAGAUGAUAUGAUGGCCGACAUAGACCUUCAUAUCAAUUAUAAUUUGUUUUAUGAGUUUUGACAUGAUUCAUAUUAUAUAAUCCAAAAUUCUGCAAAAGGUGUUUGAAUUAUAUAAUCUAAACAAAAGUAUUUUUGUCAAAUUGGAGGGUGCACGAGAAGUCAGGAAGGUUACAAAAAAUUAUUAAAAUGGAAUAUAGCUAUCAAACUCAAGGAUUUGGAUAAUCUAAAGUGAGUAACGUGUAAAAUAAAGUUAACAUAUUAUGUAAAAUAAAGUUGACUAAGCUAAUCAAAAUUAAAAGUAGCCAAUAUUUUUAUUUCAUUUUGUAAGAUUUUAAUAAUUUG
rnacentral:lncRNA from 1 species